rnacentral:rRNA from 1 species
GACCCGUCUUGAAACACGGACCAAGGAGUCUAACAUGUGUGCGAGUCGCCGGGUCUUGACCAGGCUCGGAGGCGAAAUGAAAGUGAAGGCCGAUCUGGGCGUCGGCUGCGGUGUGAUCCGCUCGGUCGUCCCAAGCCCGCGUCUUUCGCCCUCGGGCGUCUUUCGCGGGGCCGGCGGCGCAACACCGGCCCGUCCCGUCCGCAGCGUCGGUGGGGCGGAGCGAGAGCAUACACGUUGGGACCCGAAAGAUGGUGAACUAUGCUUGGGCAGGACGAAGCCAGAGGAAACUCUGGUGGAGGUCCGCAGCGAUUCUGACGUGCAAAUCGAUCGUCAGACCUGAGUAUAGGGGCGAAAGACUAAUCGAACCAUCUAGUAGCUGGUUCCUUCCGA